rnacentral:rRNA from 1 species
CACGGAGGCCCCGAGCGUUGUUCGGAUUUACUGGGCGUAAAGAGUGCGUAGGCGGCAAGGUAAGUCAGUUGUGAAAGCCCGAGGCUCAACCUCGGAAUUGCAGCCGAUACUGCCUUGCUAGAGGGUUGGAGAGGAAUCUGGAAUUUCCGGUGUAGCAGUGAAAUGCGUGGAUAUCGGGAGGAAGACCAAUGGCGAAGGCAGGAUUCUGGACAACACCUGACGCUGAGGCACGAAGGCCGGGGGAGCGAAAAGG